UACGGAGGGAGCUAGCGUUGUUCGGAAUUACUGGGCGUAAAGCGCACGUAGGCGGUUUGUCGCGUCGAAUGUGAAAACCCGGGGCUCAACCCCGGGCCUGCAUUCGAUACGGGCAGACUAGAGUUCGGAAGAGGCGAGUGGAAUUCCCGGUGUAGCGGUGAAAUGCGCAGAUAUCGGGAGGAACACCUAUGGCGAAGGCAGCUCGCUGGGACGUUACUGACGCUGAGACGCGAAAGCGUGGGGAGCAAACAGG
rnacentral:rRNA from 1 species